rnacentral:rRNA from 1 species
CACGUAGGGUGCGAGCGUUGUCCGGAAUUAUUGGGCGUAAAGAGCUCGUAAACGGUGUGUCGCGUCGGCCGUGAAAACCUGCAGCUUAACUGUGGGCUUGCGGUCGAUACGGGCGGGCUGGAGUUCGGUAGGGGAGACUGGAAUUCCUGGUGUAGCGGUGAAAUGCGCAGAUAUCAGGAGGAACACCGGUGGCGAAGGCGGGUCUCUGGGCCGAUACUGACGCUGAGGAGCGAAAGCGUGGGGAGCGAACAGG